UAGGGAAUAUUGGACAAUGGGGGCAACCCUGAUCCAGCCAUGCCGCGUGAGUGAAGAAGGCCCUCGGGUUGUAAAGCUCUUUUGUCCGGAAAGAAAAGCUUCGGGUUAAUACCCCGGGGUUCUGGCGGUACCGGAAGAAUAAGCACCGGCUAACUUCGUGCCAGCAGCCGCGGUAAUACGAAGGGUGCAAGCGUUACUCGGAAUUACUGGGCGUAAAGCGUGCGUAGGUGGUUGUUUAAGUCUGAUGUGAAAGCCCUGGGCUCAACCUGGGAGUGGCAUUGGAAACUGGGCAGCUAGAGUGCGGUAGAGGGUAGUGUAAUUCCCGGUGUAGCAGUGAAAUGCGUAGAGAUCGGGAGGAACAUCUGUGGCGAAGGCGACUGCCUGGACCAGCACUGACACUGAGGCACGAAAGCGUGGGGAGCAAACA
rnacentral:rRNA from 1 species